GCGCCGCAUGCCGAAGCCGUCGAGGCGACUGCUUGCAAACCAGUUCUUACCCGGUGCGAGUCCGGGGCGGCGCUCCA
rnacentral:tRNA from 1 species